rnacentral:rRNA from 1 species
UACGUAGGUCCCGAGCGUUGUCCGGAUUUAUUGGGCGUAAAGCGAGCGCAGGUGGUUUAUUAAGUCUGGUGUAAAAGGCAGUGGCACAACCAUUGUAUGCAUUGGAAACUGGUAGACUUGAGUGCAGGAGAGGCAAGCGGAAUUCCUAGUGUAGCGGUGAAAUGCAUAGAUAUUAGGAGGAACACCAGUGGCGAAGGCGGCUUGCUGGACUGAAACUGACGCUGAGGCUCGAAAGCGUGGGGAGCAAACAGG